rnacentral:rRNA from 1 species
UACGAAGGGGGCUAGCGUUGCUCGGAAUCACUGGGCGUAAAGGGUGCGUAGGCGGGUCUUUAAGUCAGGGGUGAAAUCCUGGAGCUCAACUCCAGAACUGCCUUUGAUACUGAGAUCUUGAGUCGGGAGAGGUGAGUGGAACUGCGAGUGUAGAGGUGAAAUUCGUAGAUAUUCGCAAGAACACCAGUGGCGAAGGCGGCUCACUGGCCC